rnacentral:rRNA from 1 species
GACGAACGCUGGCGGCGUGCUUAACACAUGCAAGUCGAACGGUGAAGGGAUCAGCUUGCUGGUUCUGGAUGAGUGGCGAACGGGUGAGUAACACGUGAGUAACCUGCCCCCUUCUUCUGGAUAACCGCAUGAAAGUGUGGCUAAUACGGGAUAUUCUGCGCCUGCUGCAUGGCGGGUGUGGGAAAGAUAUUGUUUCGGUGGGGGAUGGGCUCGCGGCCUAUCAGCUUGUUGGUGGGGUGAUGGCCUACCAAGGCGGUGACGGGUAGCCGGCCUGAGAGGGUGGACGGUCACACUGGGACUGAGACACGGCCCAGACUCCUACGGGAGGCAGCAGUGGGGAAUAUUGCACAAUGGGCGCAAGCCUGAUGCAGCGACGCCGCGUGAGGGAUGGAGGCCUUCGGGUUGUGAACCUCUUUCGCCAGUGAAGCAGGCCUGUCCCUUGUGGGUGGGUUGACGGUAGCUGGAUAAGAAGCGCCGGCUAACUACGUG